CCUACGGGUGGCUGCAGUGAGGAAUAUUGGUCAAUGGCCGAGAGGCUGAACCAGCCAAGUCGCGUGAGGGAAGAAUGUCCUAUGGAUUGUAAACCUCUUUUGUCAGGGAGCAAAGUCACCCACGUGUGGGUGUCCGCGAGUACCUUACGAAAAAGCAUCGGCUAACUCCGUGCCAGCAGCCGCGGUAAUACGGAGGAUGCGAGCGUUAUCCGGAUUUAUUGGGUUUAAAGGGUGCGUAGGCGGGUUAUCAAGUCAGCGGUAAAAUCGUGGGGCUCAACUCCGGCCAGCCGUUGAAACUGGUGGUCUUGAGUGGGCGAGAGGUAGGCGGAAUGCGUGGUGUAGCGGUGAAAUGCAUAGAUAUCGCGCAGAACUCCGAUUGCGAAGGCAGCAUACCGGCGCCCGACUGACGCUGAGGCACGAAAGCGUGGGUAUCGAACAGGAUUAGAUACCCCUGUAGUC
rnacentral:rRNA from 1 species